rnacentral:rRNA from 1 species
UACGGAGGGUGCAAGCGUUAUCCGGAAUGAUUGGGCGUAAAGCGUCCGCAGGUGGCAGUUCAAGUCUGCUGUCAAAGACCGGGGCUUAACUUCGGAAAGGCAGUGGAAACUGAACAGCUAGAGUAUGGUAGGGGCAGAGGGAAUUCCUGGUGUAGCGGUGAAAUGCGUAGAGAUCAGGAAGAACAUCGGUGGCGAAGGCGCUCUGCUGGACCAUAACUGACACUCAGGGACGAAAGCUGGGGGAGCGAAUGGG